CAGUCGAGCGAAUGGAUUGAGAGCUUGCUCUCAAGAAGUUAGCGGCGGACGGGUGAGUAACACGUGGGUAACCUGCCCAUAAGACUGGGAUAACUCCGGGAAACCGGGGCUAAUACCGGAUAACAUUUUGAACUGCAUGGUUCGAAAUUGAAAGGCGGCUUCGGCUGUCACUUAUGGAUGGACCCGCGUCGCAUUAGCUAGUUGGUGAGGUAACGGCUCACCAAGGCAACGAUGCGUAGCCGACCUGAGAGGGUGAUCGGCCACACUGGGACUGAGACACGGCCCAGACUCCUACGGGAGGCAGCAGUAGGGAAUCUUCCGCAAUGGACGAAAGUCUGACGGAGCAACGCCGCGUGAGUGAUGAAGGCUUUCGGGUCGUAAAACUCUGUUGUUAGGGAAGAACAAGUGCUAGUUGAAUAAGCUGGCACCUUGACGGUACCUAACCAGAAAGCCACGGCUAACUACGUGCCAGCAGCCGCGGUAAUACGUAGGUGGCAAGCGUUAUCCGGAAUUAUUGGGCGUAAAGCGCGCGCAGGUGGUUUCUUAAGUCUGAUGUGAAAGCCCACGGCUCAACCGUGGAGGGUCAUUGGAAACUGGGAGACUUGAGUGCAGAAGAGGAAAGUGGAAUU
rnacentral:rRNA from 1 species